rnacentral:rRNA from 1 species
GACGGAGGAUGCAAGUGUUAUCCGGAAUCACUGGGCGUAAAGCGUCUGUAGGUGGUUUAAAAAGUCUGCUGUUAAAAAUUGAAGCUUAACUUCAAAGAUGCCGUAGAAACUUUUAAACUAGAGUAUGAUAGGGGUAGAGGGAAUUUCCAGUGGAGCGGUGAAAUGUGUAGAUAUUGGAAAGGACCACCAAUGGCGAAGGCACUCUACUGGGCCAUUACUGACACUGAGAGACGAAAGCUAGGGGAGCAAAUGGG